UAGGGAAUCUUCCGCAAUGGGCGAAAGCCUGACGGAGCAACGCCGCGUGAGUGAUGAAUGUCUUCGGAUCGUAAAACUCUGUUAUUAGGGAAGAACAAAUGUGUAAGUAACUAUGCACGUCUUGACGGUACCUAAUCAGAAAGCCACGGCUAACUACGUGCCAGCAGCCGCGGUAAUACGUAGGUGGCAAGCGUUAUCCGGAAUUUUUGGGCGUAAAGCGCGCGUAGGCGGUUUUUUAAGUCUGAUGUGAAAGCCAACGGCUCAACCGUGGAGUGUCAUUGGAAACUGGAAAACUUGAGUGCAGAAGAGGAAAAUGGAAAUCCAUGUGUAGCAGUGAAAUGCGGAGAAAUAUGGAGGAACACCAGUGGCGAAAGCGACUUUCUGGUCUGUAACUGACGCUGAUGUGCGAAAGCGUGGGGAUCAAACAGG
rnacentral:rRNA from 1 species